CACGUAGGGUGCGAGCGUUGUCCGGAAUUAUUGGGCGUAAAGAGCUCGUAGGCGGUGUGUCGCGUCGGCCGUGAAAACCUGUGGCUUAACUAUGGGCUUGCGGUCGAUACGGGCAUCACUGGAGUUCGGCAGGGGAGACUGGAAUUCCUGGUGUAGCGGUGAAAUGCGCAGAUAUCAGGAGGAACACCGGUGGCGAAGGCGGGUCUCUGGGCCAAUACUGACGCUGAGGAGCGAAAGCGUGGGGAGCGAACAGG
rnacentral:rRNA from 1 species